rnacentral:sRNA from 1 species
AAGAUUCGAACCUGCCGCAGGUUCGGGUCUCACGUAGUGAGACAACGGAGCCGCUUGCGGCGACGGCCCGAAGGGCGAGCAAAGCGAGUCAUCCU